AGAAUCAACGCUGGCGGCGUGCCUAACACAUGCAAGUCGAACGAGAAAGUGGAGCAAUCCAUGAGUACAGUGGCGACCGGGUGAGUAACACGUGACUACCUACCCUUGAGUGGGGGAUAACCUCGGGAAACCGAGGCUAAUACCGCAUAAUAUCGAGAGAUCAAAGGAGUAAUCCGCUUUUGGAGGGGGUCGCGGCUGAUUAGCUAGUUGGUAGGGUAAUGGCCUACAAAGGCGAAGAUCGGUAUCCGGCCUGAGAGGGCGCACGGACACACUGGAACUGAAACACGGUCCAGACUCCUACGGGAGGCAGCAGUGGGGAAUUUGCGCAAUGGGGGAAACCCUGACGCAGCAACGCCGCGUGGAGGAUGAAGCCCUUGGGGUGUAAACUCCUUUCGACCGGGAAAAUAAUGAUGGUACCGGUGGAAGAAGCACCGGCUAACUCUGCGCCAGCAGCCG
rnacentral:rRNA from 1 species